ACCACAACUCGACGAAGGGAUUAGGGACAUCCUUGGCAUUAGGAUUCUCCCACUCCACCACUGACUCCCACCAUUAUUUUGGUUUUAUUUUCAUUCUUCUAAGAGAAGGAGGAGGAGAUGGCUGCCCAUUUUCAAGCAACAGAACACAAAUUUUCUUCUCCUCUAACUGGUACCGGAGCCUCUUCCAGCAAUGAACUUCUCCUCUAGUACAAAGACUUGCAGGCUAGAGAGUUGAGCCAAUAUCGCACCACAAAACUCCUUUUCAUCAUUCUAAGAAACCUCAGGUUGGAUAGAGAUUCCAUACCUUGAGGCAUCUUUUCAAGUGCACAAGUAUGAGAGAGAUCUAACCUUUUCAAUGCCCUCAGCUUUUUUAAUGAUGGUAAAUGCCUCAGGUUCAAACUCCAUGUGAGCAACAAUGCAGUGAGACUCACCAAACCAGAGAAAGAAUCAAUAAGGUUGACAGAUUUAGACACCUUGGUGAAAGGCUAGAGGGAAUUUCUUUAAUUUGGUUUUAUACUAGAGAAACUCCCACAAGAUUUUUCUUUAAUUUCUUUAACCGUGCCUUGAGAGUUCUCUUGCAUCAUGUGGCCAUCGUCAAUUUUUGCUUGCCUGCUCCUCAUCCCUUCCGUUAUUCCCUCCUUCCUUUCAAUCACAUGAUCUUCAGGAAAUAAUUCACAACAUAAUCAACUUCUUCCUUUC
rnacentral:lncRNA from 1 species